AGCAUAUCAAUAAGCGGAGGAAAAGAACCAACAGGGAUUGCCCCAGUAACGGCGAGUGAAGCGGCAACAGCUCAAAUUUGAAAUCUGGCCCUCGGGUCCGAGUUGUAAUUUGUAGAGGAUGCUUUUGGCAAGGUGCCUUCCGAGUUCCCUGGAACGGGACGCCAUAGAGGGUGAGAGCCCCGUCUGGUCGGACACCGCGCCUCUGUAAAGCUCCUUCGACGAGUCGAGUAGUUUGGGAAUGCUGCUCUAAAUGGGAGGUAUAUGUCUUCUAAAGCUAAAUACCGGCCAGAGACCGAUAGCGCACAAGUAGAGUGAUCGAAAGAUGAAAAGCACUUUGAAAAGAGAGUUAAAAAGCACGUGAAAUUGUUGAAAGGGAAGCGAUUAUGACCAGACUUGGGCCUGUUUGAUCAGCUCGGGUUCUCCCGGGUGCACUCUCUCAGGCUCAGGCCAGCAUCAGUUCGUCGCGGGGGACAAAGGUCGCGGGAAUGUAGCUCCCCUCGGGGAGUGUUAUAGCUCGUUUCGUAAUACCCUGCCUCGGACUGAGGUUCGCGCAUCUUGCAAGGAUGCUGGCGUAAUGGUCAUCAUCGACCCGUCUUGAAACACGGACCAAGGAGUCGUCUUCGUAUGCGAGUGUUCGGGUGUUAAACCCCUACGCGGAAUGAAAGUGAACGCAGGUGAGAGCUUCGGCGCAUCAUCGACCGAUCCUGAUGUUCUCGGAUGGAUUUGAGUAAGAGCAUACGGAGCCGGACCCGAAAGAAGGUGAACUAUGCCUGUAUAGGGUGAAGUCAGAGGAAACUCUGAUGGAGGCUCGCAGCGGUUCUGACGUGCAAAUCGAUCGUCAAAUAUGGGCAUGGGGGCGAAAGACUAAUCGAACCUUCUAGUAGCUGGUUUCCGCCGA
rnacentral:rRNA from 1 species